rnacentral:rRNA from 1 species
GAUGAACGCUGGCGGCGUGCCUAAUACAUGCAAGUCGAGCGAAUGGAUUAAGAGCUUGCUCUUAUGAAGUUAGCGGCGGACGGGUGAGUAACACGUGGGUAACCUGCCCAUAAGACUGGGAUAACUCCGGGAAACCGGGGCUAAUACCGGAUAACAUUUUGAACCGCAUGGUUCGAAAUUGAAAGGCGACUUCGGCUGUCACUUAUGGAUGGACCCGCGUCGCAUUAGCUAGUCGGUGAGGUAACGGCUCAACAAGGCAACGAUGCGUAGCCGACCGGAGAGGGUGAUCGGCCACACUGGGACUGAGACACGGCCCAGACUCCUACUGGAGGCAGCAGUAGGGAAUCUUCCGCAAUGGACGAAAGUCUGACGGAGCAACGCCGCGUGAGUGAUGAAGGCUUUCGGGUCGUAAAACUCUGUUGUUAGGGAAGAACAAGUGCUAGUUGAAUAAGCUGGCACCUUGACGGUACCUAACCAGAAAGCCACGGCUAACUACGUGCCAGCCGCCGCAGUAA